UACGGGGGGAGCAAGCGUUGUUCGGAUUUACUGGGCGUAAAGGGCGCGUAGGCGGCCACCGCAAGUCGACUGUGAAAUCUCCGGGCUUAACCCGGAAAGGUCAGCCGAUACUGCGGGCUAGAGUGCAGAAGGGCAACUGGAAUUCUCGGUGUAGCGGUGAAAUGCGCAGAUAUCAGGAGGAACACCGGUGGCGAAGGCGGGUCUCUGGGCAGUAACUGACGCUGAGGAGCGAAAGCGUGGGGAGCGAACAGG
rnacentral:rRNA from 1 species